UGUUGUGGUCUUUACCUGCUAGUAUUGAUACUGAACUUGUGUUUCUGGUUACGUACUCUCUGGCUUGUUUAUCCGACUUUGUGACUUUCUCCUACCCUUUGACCUCGGCUUGUUUCACGUUAUUCUGUCUUCUGGUUCCCCUUUACUCGGCUUGUUUCCUGACUAUUCUGUGUGUGCUUAGCCCGGCCACUCUAAGGUCCGGUACGGCACCUUUUGUGUGUGUGUGUGUGCCAGCGUGUUGGGUUCCCCGAAUCGUGACAGCGAGAGGCAUCCCCACAUGAAUGGAGUUGUUGUGGCCGUUAUCAUAUAGGCUGCCUGACAAGUUAUUACAGGGUCUCUUAACUAUGACACAGCUGAUAUUCUAGGCCAUUUACGAUGGUGUUAAAAAUUAUAUCUUUAAACGCUAAAGGGCUUAAUUCCCCUAAAAAAAACGCAGUUUGCCUAUGAGGGAAGCUAAACACUGUGGAGCCCUGGUUGCGUUCUUUCAAGUUACAUUUUAAAUGGGGUAGUAGACCUAAAUUUAAUUCCAAUUGGUUUCCACAUGAUUUUCACGCCUGCAACUCGGCCAAAAAACAUGGUGUCUCCACCUUGAUAAGCAAGGAUGCAUCAUUUUCAUUGCUCCAUAAUAAUAGCGAUAAAAAAAGGCGAAACGUAAUAUUGCAAUGUCUCCUCAAUAAUAAUCCAUAUACCCUGGUCCACAUUUACAGCCCCAAUGAGAAUCCGCAUGAUUUUUUGCUUACUGUACUAGUUUUAACUGAUAUGUAUAAAUAUGGGGAGGUAAUCAUUGGAGACGACACAAAUUUUUUGUUAGAUGG